rnacentral:tRNA from 1 species
GGGCCGGUAGCUCAGCUGGUCAGAGCAGCGGACUCAUAAUCCGCAGGACGUAGGUUCGACCCCUACCCGGCCCA